rnacentral:siRNA from 1 species
UUCUUAUGUGCUUGUAACUACA